AACAACAGAAGAGAACCGGACCCUAU
rnacentral:rasiRNA from 1 species